AAAGUAUUCGGACUUGUGUUUAUUCAAAAUAAACUAUAGUCCAACCGAGAGUGAUCUUCGGUGAAUGUUAUCAACAUGAGUAGUAUUUAUGUUUGUGGACAAGUGCCACUAACAUCUAAGUGAAUUGGCCUCAACAACUUUGUGAUUCUUUCUUCUUUCCAAAAGAAUAAAGAUUCGAACAUUUUCGCCUCUAUACAAUUUUAACAAGAAGGUAUUGGAUCCGGAUCUAACGAUCCAAAGCGU
rnacentral:lncRNA from 1 species